UAGGGAAUCUUCCACAAUGGGCGAAAGCCUGACGGAGCAACGCCGCGUGUGUGAUGAAGGGUUUCGGCUCGUAAAACACUGUUGUAAGAGAAGAAUGACAUUGAGAGUAACUGUUCAAUGUGUGACGGUAUCUUACCAGAAAGGAACGGCUAAAUACGUGCCAA
rnacentral:rRNA from 1 species